UACGUAGGUGGCAAGCGUUAUCCGGAUUUAUUGGGCGUAAAGGGAACGCAGGCGGUCUUUUAAGUCUGAUGUGAAAGCCUUCGGCUUAACCGGAGUAGUGCAUUGGAAACUGGGAGACUUGAGUGCAGAAGAGGAGAGUGGAACUCCAUGUGUAGCGGUGAAAUGCGUAGAUAUAUGGAAGAACACCAGUGGCGAAAGCGGCUCUCUGGUCUGUACUGACGCUGAGGCACGAAAGCGUGGGGAGCAAAUAGG
rnacentral:rRNA from 1 species